rnacentral:miRNA from 1 species
UUUCCCACUCCUCCCAAGCCCA